rnacentral:rRNA from 1 species
AUUGAACGCUGGCGGCAGGCUUAACACAUGCAAGUCGAGCGGGGUGAUGGUGCUUGCACUAUCACUUAGCGGCGGACGGGUGAGUAAUGCUUAGGAAUCUGCCUAUUAGUGGGGGACAACAUCUCGAAAGGGAUGCUAAUACCGCAUACGUCCUACGGGAGAAAGCAGGGGAUCACUUGUGACCUUGCGCUAAUAGAUGAGCCUAAGUCGGAUUAGCUAGUUGGUGGGGUAAAGGCCUACCAAGGCGACGAUCUGUAGCGGGUCUGAGAGGAUGAUCCGCCACACUGGGACUGAGACACGGCCCAGACUCCUACGGGAGGCAGCAGUAGGGAAUAUUGGACAAUGGGGGGAACCCUGAUCCAGCCAUGCCGCGUGUGUGAAGAAGGCCUUAUGGUUGUAAAGCACUUUAAGCGAGGAGGAGGCUCUUUUGGUUAAUACCCAAGAUGAGUGGACGUUACUCGCAGAAUAAGCACCGGCUAACUCUGUGCCAGCAGCCGCAGUAA